rnacentral:rRNA from 1 species
UACAGAGGUCUCAAGCGUUGUUCGGAUUCAUUGGGCGUAAAGGGUGCGUAGGUGGCGGGGGUAAGUCAGGUGUGAAAUCUCGGGGGCUCAACCCCGAAACUGCACUUGAUACUGCCUUGCUUGAGUACUGGAGAGGAGAUUGGAAUUUACGGUGUAGCAGUGAAAAUGCGUAGAUAUCGUAAGGAAGACCAGUGGCGAAGGCGAAUCUCUGGACAGUUACUGACACUGAGCACGAAGGGCCAGGGGAGCAAACGGG